GAUGAACGCUAGCGGCAGGCUUAAUACAUGCAAGUCGAGGGGUAACAUGGGGUAGCAAUACUCUGAUGACGACCGGCAAACGGGUGCGGAACACGUACGCAACUUUCCCAAAACUGGUGAAUAGCCCUCCGAAAGGAGGAUUAAUACACCGUAACAUAUAGAGGUGGCAUCGCCUUUAUAUUAUAGCUCCGGCGGUUUUGGAUGGGCGUGCGCCUGAUUAGGUAGUUGGUGUGGUAACGGCUCACCAAGCCUACGAUCAGUAACUGGUGUGAGAGCACGACCAGUCACACGGGCACUGAGACACGGGCCCGACUCCUACGGGAGGCAGCAGUAAGGAAUAUUGGUCAAUGGACGAAAGUCUGAACCAGCCAU
rnacentral:rRNA from 1 species